GCGUGCGAAAAAAGGCCGCCGCCGGGGGAGCGAAGGGAAAGACCGCAGACGCCGGCACCCUCUCCACAGGCCCCUGCGCUCACAGAUCAUAACGAUGCUAAUGAUGAGAGAUCAGAACCAUGGAAAAUCAGGGGACUUCGGAAAUGAUUGCCAGAGAGUGAUAUCUUCCUAAAUGGGAUUCUUCAAAGAGCA